rnacentral:rRNA from 1 species
ACUCCUACGGGAGGCAGCAGUAGGGAAUUUUCCGCAAUGGGCGAAAGCCUGACGGAGCAACGCCGCGUGAGUGAAGACGGCCUUCGGGUUGUAAAGCUCUGUUCUUUGGGAAGAAAACAAUGACGGUACCAAAGGAGAAAGCCCCGGCUAACUACGUGCCAGCAGCCGCGGUAAUACGUAGGGGGCAAGCGUUGUCCGGAAUUAUUGGGCGUAAAGCGCGCGUAGGCGGUUAGAUAAGUUGGAUGUGAAAGGCUACGGCUCAACCGUAGAGCGGCAUCCAAAACUGUUUAACUUGAGUGCAGCAGAGGAGAGUGGAAUUCCCGGUGUAGCGGUGGAAUGCGUAGAGAUCGGGAGGAACACCAGUGGCGAAGGCGACUCUCUGGGCUGUAACUGACGCUGAGGUGCGAAAGCGUGGGGAGCGAACAGGAUUAGAUACCCUGGUAGUCCACGCCGUAAACGAUGAGUGCUAGGUGUUGGAGGGUCCACCCUUCAGUGCCGAAGGAAACCCAGUAAGCACUCCGCCUGGGGAGUACGGCCGCAAGGCUGAAACUCAAAGGAAUUGACG